UAUACGACCGUACCGCAAACCGACACUGGUGCGCGAGAUGAGUAUUCUAAGGCGCUUGAGAGAACUCAGGAGAAGGAACUCGGCAAAUUGACACCGUAACUUCGGAAGAAGGUGUGCCCUAUUAGUGUGUAGUGAACAACGAAGCAUGAAUGGGUUGCAAAAAAUCGGUGGCUGCGACUGUUUAUUAAAAACACAGCACUCUGCAAACACGAAAGUGGACGUAUAGGGUGUGACGCCUGCCCGGUGCUGGAAGAUUAAAUGAUGGGGUGCAAGCUCUUGAUUGAAGUCCCAGUAAACGGCGGCCGUAACGAUAACGGUCCUAAGGUAGCGAAAUUCCUUGUCGGGUAAGUUCCGACCUGCACGAAUGGCGUAACGAUGGCCACACUGUCUCCUCCUGAGACUUAGCGAAGUUGAAAUGUUUGUGAUGAUGCAAUCUCCCCGCGGAAAGACGGAAAGACCCCAUGAACCUUUACUGUAGCUUUGUAUUGGACUUUGAACAGAUCUGUGUAGGAUAGGUGGGAGGCUUUGAAGCAGGGUCGCUAGAUCUUGUGGAGCCAACGUUGAAAUACCACCCUGGUGUGUUUGAGGUUCUAACCUAGGUCCAUUAUCUGGAUCGGGGACAGUGCAUGGUAGGCAGUUUGACUGGGGCGGUCUCCUCCCAAAGCGUAACGGAGGAGUUCGAAGGUACGCUAGUUACGGUCGGACAUCGUGACGAUAGUGCAAUGGCAUAAGCGUGCUUAACUGCGAGACUGACAAGUCGAGCAGAUGCGAAAGCAGGACAUAGUGAUCCGGUGGUUCUGUAUGGAAGGGCCAUCGCUCAACGGAUAAAAGGUACUCUGGGGAUAACAGGCUGAUACCGCCCAAGAGUUCAUAUCGACGGCGGUGUUUGGCACCUCGAUGUCGGCUCAUCUCAUCCUGGGGCUGUAGCCGGUCCCAAGGGUAUGGCUGUUCGCCAUUUAAAGAGGUACGUGAGCUGGGUUUAAAACGUCGUGAGACAGUUUGGUCCCUAUCUUCCGUGGGCGCUGCAGUUUUGAGGAAGCCUGCUCCUAGUACGAGAGGACCGGAGUGGACACACCUCUGGUGUAUCGGUUGUCACGCCAGUGGCAUUGCCGAGUAGCUAAGUGUGGAAGAGAUAACCGCUGAAAGCAUCUAAGCGGGAAACUCGUUUCAAGAUGAGAUCUGCCGGGGCCUUGAGCCCCCUAAAGAGUCGUUCAAGACCAGGACGUUGAUAGGUCAGGUGUGGAAGUG
rnacentral:rRNA from 1 species